rnacentral:rRNA from 1 species
ACAGCAGUCGCCGCGGUAAUACGUAGGUGGCGAGCGUUGUCCGGAAUUAUUGGGCGUAAAGGGAGCGCAGGCGGGCGAGUAAGUCUUUCUUAAAAGUGCGGGGCUCAACCCCGUGAGGGGAGAGAAACUACUCACCUUGAGUGCAGGAGAGGAAAGCGGAAUUCCUAGUGUAGCGGUGAAAUGCGUAGAUAUUAGGAAGAACACCAGUGGCGAAGGCGGCUUUCUGGACUGUAAUUGACGCUGAGGCUCGAAAGCCAGGGGAGCGAACGGGAUUAGAUACCCCUGUAGUCCCUGUCUCUUAUACA